CAGCCGCUCGCCCCGCCGCAUCGCCGCCUCCUCCUCCUGCGGUCGCUCAUCCCUCCUCCUCCACCCAAUCCCUAACCCUAGCAGCUCCCGCCGUCGCCGCCGUCUACUUCGCCCAGCCUGCCAGACCGCCUCUGUCCACUUCCCCAGUGUCGUCGCGGUCGUCCUCACCUGCACACGGCAAGAGGAGCGGCCCCACCCUCUCCUCUCCUCCUUCCCUCAUCACGAGCCAUGACAGGGAGGGCCACCGUGGCCGGGCAGGUCAGGCGGCGCGUCCAGAUCACCGAGGAGCCGCCCGCAAGGUCGGCCAUGGCGCAACCGAGCAGAGCAGGUGAGGAGGGAGACGCCGGUUCCUCUUUCCCGCUGCUUGCUUCGUCGCCGGCGCGGCUCCGAUGGACUCUCGUGGCUCCUCUCUGUCUCCUUCCUCGCCCCCACACGCGGCUCCACUUCCCGCUGGCCAUGGGGCUGGCCGGCAGCAGCGCCUCCCUCCCUGCCGCUGCCAGUCCCGGCGCCGCCGACGGGUCCAUAGGCAGGCGUCGUUCUUGGUGGUUGAGCCGCUGAUGCAGAAGAUUCAUGGAGAGAUUUGUUGGGUGGACGCCGACAUCCUUGCCGUCGUCCGGUUGCAGGGUAGUUCUUACAAAAAGAGGCAAGCUGAAGAGGAAGGUUGCAAGAAGGAGAGCAACUGUGCAUUGUUAUGAUUGCCUCUUCCUCCUGUUGCUAAGUGUCACAAGCAAAAGGACCAAGUGCGGGCGGGUGAGCAUCAGGAGUCCAGUUGAUUGGCUUCGACCUUUGAGUUGUUGCUGGCUAGCAGUGCCACUUCUGAGCGUCUCCUCACCCCUCACUCAUGUGGCCCCUUCAACUAGUGGCACUUUUGCUUGUGUCUUGUUAUCUUUUCGAAAUGGUGAAGCUGACAAUGAUAGCCUGUAUCACUGAUGGCCUUUCAUUUGCGGAGUGCUUAGAUGGUGGUUAUGUUAAGGAUGUUGUCUUCUAAAAGCAGCAAGCAAAAUUGUUGUUCAAAAACAUAUAUAAAGGCCAACAUGAAUCAUCAAGACUGUCAACUGAGACUGGACCAUACCAUUCCAGGUUAAGGGGCGUAUGGCGGUGAGGAAGCGGCGGCGCGCGCCUACAACCUGGCGGCAUUGAAGUACUGGGGCCAUGACACCAUCCUCGACUUCCUGCUGUCUAGCUACGACCAAGAGUUGAAGGAAAUGGAGGAGCAAUCCAGGGAAGAGUACAUUGGUUCGCUCCGGAGGGUUACUAAAUGAGUAGCAGUAAUAUCCAUGGCGGAGAUGAUAUCCAUAUUUUAUUGUGUUGCUACUACUUUCCUUCAUUUUUCUAUCCUGCAUUUCCAAUAUACAUCAUACAUAAUACAUUUCCAGUCUCUAAAUCGAUAGACAGGAAAAAAUAGCUAAACAUGGUUGUGAAGUUUUGGCUGGUUUUUGGACUGAAGACAUAUAACAUCUGUUGUAGCUCUAAAUGCACACUGUUCUCUUUCCUUGGCAAUGUUUGCAGAAUAUAUAUAUAUAUUGUAGAGACAGUAAUAUUUGUGCCUUGUGAGAAUAGGUCUGCUGUCAAGUGACAUCAUGCAACAUAGAUUUAGAACGAAGAGUAAGAUAUGUUUCUAUACAGCGACUACUGGAUCGAUAGUACAAAAUAAAUAGCGUGAAUGGAUUUAGCAUUAAGAUACGAAAAUUCUAAAGCUACCCUUCUUGUGGAUCGACUGAUAAAUCCAUGUAUAAUAUUUUGAGAAAGAGUUAAAUCAGUAUAUGCUGUUUGAGUGCCUUUUAAUUAAGAUACUAGACUAUGUUGGUACACAUAUAUUUGGAUGCUUGUGAUUGGCUGGAAAGAGCUGAAACUUGGAUUUGUUGUUGGACUAAACUGAGUAGUCAUAGCCUUUUGGUUGAUGCUUCAGUAUACCAAAAAACUUGCUAUUUUUCAUGUUCUUGUACGUGAUGGGUUCAAUGUUUUCGAGUCGAUGAGUCGACGGGUCGCUCGGGGAGGACGACUCUAGACUAGUCGUGACUAGUCUAGACUCACGGUCGAUGAGUCGACAUGGCGAUGAGUCGACAUGAGUUAAGCAGCAGGCAGUCAGGGGAGGAGCACAAGUGCACAGCAGCAGCAGCAACCAGGGGAGGAGGGGAGGAGCACACCACCAGCAGCAGUAACCAGGGCCAACUGAGAGAUGGGCCACUAGUUAUGCACUUCCCUGUGGCCCAAAAGCCCAUCUAGUAGCUAUAUACUCCUCCCGUGACCUAAUCCACCAUCCACACUCCCUCCUCCCUCACCACAGCCGCCACACAUUCGCUGCCACUCUUGCCACCAGUCCACCACUCCUCCUCCCAGCGAUGGAUCUCUCAACUCCCCCGCAGCAGCUCUCUUGCCACCGCUCCUCCUCCCAGCCCGCUCCUCUUGCCGCUUCAGCUUCAGCAGCAGCAGCAGCAGCGCGGCGGCAAGGGCGCAGCAGCAGCAGCGAGGCAGCACAGCAGCAGCAUCAGCAGCACGGCGGCGGGAGAGUGCUCCGGAUCCAGCGCUGCCUCGAGUCGUUCGACCCCAAAACCGCGACUAGUCGUGACUAGUCGAGACUAGUCGCGCGAGUCACUCGACUCAUCCCAGGAGUCGAGUCGAGAAGCUGAGUCGGCUCUGGAACUGCGACUCGUCGACUAGUCGACGACUAGUCGAGCGACUCGAAAUCCAUGGAUGGGUUUAGGACACAAACAAUUAUUAUUUUUAUUUACGAAAAACUUGUGCUUCAAGAUUACAGUAUGUUGAAUGCCUUUCGUGCUUGGUUAAAAUAUAAGUACUGCUUAUAUAUGAUUUCAAUUCAGCUUGACCAAUUUUCUUUGCUCUGCUUUUUCCCUCCCUCUCCACUGAAUAUGACCAUGUUCAAAAUAAAAUGCGCAUUAACACUUAUGAGAGUAACCGAUAUUUUAUUUUUGUUGGAAGUGUUCUCUCUAGGUCUGCGUUGAUCCCACUCUCUUGCAUUCAGGUAAGCGCCGCCAUAAACGCCAACGUGCCAAAAAGACAAGGGGCCGAGCUCCAUGUAGCGAACCAUGUCUUUGUGAGAGGACCGUAAUAAGAGGUAGCAUGCUGGCUUUAUGCCAUUGUUCAAUACUUUGCAUAUUAAAUGAACUCUUACACCAUUUUUUAAUAGAUUGUUCUUCGCAUGUUAAACUCCACUCUUACGCAUAGGACCAAUAUGCUGCAAACUAUGGGGCAAACCAUCGCUCACUAUCAACAAGCGGUCAAUUAAAAGAACAUAAUCGUAUUAUCCAUGAUUUUUUUCUAUGGCUUGAUUGGUUAAACUAAAAACUCACAGCAGGUUCAUGUGACGUGCCAUGUGAGAAGUUGAACGACAAGACAGUCAAGUGAAGUUAUCAAAUAGUAUGCUUUAGUUGAACUGUAUAGGUUCCUUAUCUCUCACUGGCGCUCUGGCUUGAUUUUGUUGUCUAACUCUACUCUCUGUAUCUAACUUAAUUUGAAUUGAUCGUCCUGCCUUAGCUUUGGAACAAAGAAAUGUUUCCCUUUUAUUAUGAGCCUCCACGUCAUUUGUUCUACUGAUUAAAUAUUUCCUACUCACCUUGCUUUUGGUAUACCCAACAUUGUUCUUGAUUUACUUUUGGAACAAAAUAUAUAUUCAUGAGCUUCCAUA